AUACAAGCAAAAAAGCAAAAAGGCAAUUCUUUGCGACUUACAAAGGGUGAACAAACCCAAAGUAAUAACGCCAACGCAACAGAAUUGCUUAAUGAUUUGGAGUUUGCCAUAAAUUCGCUAAAAAAGGAGUUAUACCACCAGUUGAAUUAGAUAUUUUCGAACCUGACGAUAUUGAGAGGUAUGCCGAUACAACUUUGCAGAAGCGCUACGAUUUUGAAAAAAAUAUAAAGUCCCUGAAUAUAAAUGAAAGUAAAGAAAAACCAAUUCGGGAGCGCUGCACAUAUUUCACAAUUGAAUUGAUGAAACAAUUAAAACAGAGAUUGAUGUUUUUCGGUCACCAAUGUAUUGUGCGCGGUGAAGAAAGACUUCACAGAUAUUUUAGAGUUCCUACAAUUCAAAAAUAUUUCUAAAAUUGAACGCCAAUACAACAAUAUAAAUUUGAUUAAAUGGGACAACAUCAGCGACACAAACAAAUUUUGGUUUGAGGUGCUAAACUUUAAAGAUUCUGGUGGAAAACGCAGAUUUUUUGAGAUGGCAACUGUGGUCAUUCAAAUAUUGUGUUUACCCUGGUCAAACGCGGAGAUAGAAAGGGUUUUUAGCCAGGUUAACCUAAUUUAAUCAAAAUUAAGAAAUUCAAUAGUCCUCGCAACGACUAACAGCAUUCUAAGCAUAAGAAACGGAUUACGAAGGAUGGGAAAAUGCUGCGUCGACUAUGAAGUGUCUGUAAAAUAUCGGCAGAUGAUAGCCACGAAUAUGUCAUACGAAAAUGAGACAGACCAAGACGAUAUACAUAGAUAAAUUAAUGGAAAUCUUUUAAACAAAAAUGAACUUAAUAAAUUGUUAUUUUUUUUUUAGAAA